rnacentral:rRNA from 1 species
AACGAACGCUGGCGGCAGGCUUAACACAUGCAAGUCGAGCGCCCCGCAAGGGGAGCGGCAGACGGGUGAGUAACGCGUGGGAAUCUACCCAUCUCUGCGGAACAACUCCGGGAAACUGGAGCUAAUACCGCAUACGCCCUUCGGGGGAAAGAUUUAUCGGGGAUGGACGAGCCCGCGUUGGAUUAGCUAGUUGGUGGGGUAAAGGCCUACCAAGGCGACGAUCCAUAGCUGGUCUGAGAGGAUGAUCAGCCACAUUGGGACUGAGACACGGCCCAAACUCCUACGGGAGGCAGCAGUGGGGAAUAUUGGACAAUGGGCGCAAGCCUGAUCCAGCCAUGCCGCGUGAGUGAUGAAGGCCUUAGGGUUGUAAAGCUCUUUCACCGAUGAAGAUAAUGACAGUAGUCGGAGAAGAAGCCCCGGCUAACUUCGUGCCAGCAGCCGCGGUAA